UAGGGAAUCUUCGGCAAUGGGGGCAACCCUGACCGAGCAACGCCGCGUGAGUGAAGAAGGUUUUCGGAUCGUAAAGCUCUGUUGUAAGAGAAGAACGUGUGUGAGAGUGGAAAGUUCACACAGUGACGGUAACUUACCAGAAAGGGACGGCUAACUACGUGCCAGCAGCCGCGGUAAUACGUAGGUCCCGAGCGUUGUCCGGAUUUAUUGGGCGUAAAGCGAGCGCAGGCGGUUUAAUAAGUCUGAAGUUAAAGGCAGUGGCUUAACCAUUGUUCGCUUUGGAAACUGUUAAACUUGAGUGCAGAAGGGGAGAGUGGAAUUCCAUGUGUAGCGGUGAAAUGCGUAGAUAUAUGGAGGAACCCCGGUGGCGAAAGCGGCUCUCUGGUCUGUAACUGACGCUGAGGCUCGAAAGCGUGGGGAGCAAACAGG
rnacentral:rRNA from 1 species